UUGUGCGGGAAAAUUUAAAGAGCAGAACGGACUGAGCUGAGGAGGCAUUUUUGUUUAUUUCAUAUUGCGCAAUUUGGGAACCGUGUCGCAUAAUUAGAGACCUACAGACGGGUUUGUGUGCCUAGCGGCCUUUUGGAGAAGUAACUCCCAUCAUAAGCUAUUUUUGUUAAAACAGUUUUUUUUUCUGUGUCUGGAUACGGCAUGUUUGUGGGAAGGGCUCUUUGGGGAAACACCUGCCGAAUCCUCUCCAUCAGAGUGCUGCCUCGCCAUUGCGUGCAUUUUGUGUUUUCCUUAUUUCUUAUUUGUUCGCGUGCGUUUUGAUUUUCACUAAAUCAAAUCAACGGAAAGGAGAAGCAGGACAUAACAGUGCCGGCCUAGAAGCAGUGCUGGUCCAACCCUACAUGGACAUCAUCUUCUCCGCCGAUUGGUUUCAACCUGCUUUUGCGGAGAUGGAGGCCCCAAUUCUCCAAACUACAGCUGAUAUAGGAAGGGAUAACGACCACCUCAAGAAAAGCUUGAGCGAGUUUAAAGAAUUACGCGCCGAACAGGGGGUUCAGCCCAGGUCCACCGCCUGGUCCGCAGGAGACCACUUUACCGGGGGAAACCGGGGCGGGGGGGAUGGACUCGAACCCGCGACGCCCACUGUGAGGUAACGGUCCCUCAUCCCUCCUGCUUGGAAGUGAGUGUCACUUUUAUUGCAAACUGUCAAAUGAACUUAUUGUAUAAUUAUUUGAAUCUGAGUGCAAGAAGGCAUGGUUGAUGUGAAAAUGCCA